UUCAACUAUCUCCUCCCCAUCGAGCAAAAAGACAAAAAAAUUCUCCUCCCCAUCGGCCUCCUCCACAGCCACCCGCCCAUCCAAACACCACUUCCCACCCCCGAGGGUAAACCCAACAUUGAAAACGAAUUUUCUCUUGUAAACGAUCUUCGAUAAGUAUCCUUUUGCAAACAGUGAAACACCCCACCAUAGAAAAUCAUUCUCAGACCAGUUCCGACGUGCCAAUUCACCAGUUGUCUUCCAUCUAUUGGUAUUGCUUCAUCGACGCCUUGCUGCCAACACCGCUCUUUCCAUAAGCUAGAUUAUCGGGUUGUUGCUCAACACAUUCCAGCUUCGGACUUCAGGCUUUGUGAGAAGCACAUAUUGAGUAUUUGAGCUCAGGAAACAUAAGCUGAGAAAUUGCUUGGUAAGUAUGUGGAAGGUAACGGGUGUGAUUAGCAAAUCUUAUCAAAAUUAAGAGGAGUUUUUAUUUUAUUUUUAUUUUUGGAGGUUCAUGGCAUAUUUAUAUGUCUUCAAUUUGGAAUCCUUCUUCCCUUUGCUCUCCUUCAAAAUUUGGAAAUGAGAAGUAACUCAAUUUGGUUCGGAGCAACAGUUGGGCUAUGUAAAUGCAAUCAGUGCAUGCAUGUGAAGAAAAGGAAGGGGCUGGUCAAAGGAUCAAAAUUCUUCUUUUGCUUGAAUAGUUUUAUGGACUUUGAAACUGUUGCCCAAAUGCAAGCACAUGUCUAACAUUAAGU